AGCCCUUUUGCCCCCAGCGUCGUGCUGGGAGCUCACGUUCUGCUGGUUUUCCGCCCAGAUCUUUGCCCGAGUCCCUGAUCCCCAGGAGAGAACCCCCCAGCCGGUCCGCAUGGCCGACGACCUUGGUUCCUACAUGUGUCUGAGACACGUAUGGCCCCGUGUUCACCCUGCAUCUGGGCUCGCAGCGGGUCGUGGUGCUGUGCGGCUACACGGCGGUGAAGGAAGCCCUGGUUGACCAUGGGAAGGAGUUCGGGGGAAGGAGGAACAUGGCCACAGCUGCGAGGAUCGUCAAAGUGUUUGGACUUAUCUUCGCCAACGGGGAGCGGUGGUGGCAGCUGCGUUGGUUCUCCCUCACUGCGCUGCGGAACUUUGGCACGGGGAAGCGGAUCCAGGAGGAGCGGAUCCAGGAGGAGGUCUGGUGCCUGGUGGAGGAGCUCGGGAACACAAAGGGGCACCACCAUCAUCCCCUUGCUGAGCUCAGUCCUCCAGGAUACAAGUCAGUUCAAAAGCCCAAACGACUUUGACCCUCGGCAUUUCCUGGAUGGGAACAGCACUUCCAGAAGAACAGUGCCUUCAUGCCGUUCUCUGCAGAAAAGGACGAGGACGUUGAAUUUGAUUUUUGCAGCGUAAGCGAGACGAAGGGGCGGCGUGGUGAGAUUUCUACUGGCCCGUGUCGAUUUCGCUGCCCACACAAACCGAUGAAAAGACACGAGCAUCCGAAUUCCCAGCAAGAGGCUGCGUGAGAACUUCUGGGAGUGCGAAGCUGCAGAUUUGCAGGGCGUAAAGCUUUGAAUCUCAUCAGCUGUUGUCAUUAACUAAUCAUUGUCUGCCUCCCCCCACACUUCUUUCCCACAACUGUGAACAUUUAAAUUGAUACAACCAGGGGAAAAUGCGUAAAACCCAGCAGCAACUGUGAAGAGUUACAUUAAAUAAAUUGCUUAAAAAUAAA